rnacentral:rRNA from 1 species
GAUGAACGCUGGCGGCGUGCCUAAUACAUGCAAGUCGAGCGAACAGACGAGGAGCUUGCUCCUCUGACGUUAGCGGCGGACGGGUGAGUAACACGUGGAUAACCUACCUAUAAGACUGGGAUAACUUCGGGAAACCGGAGCUAAUACCGGAUAAUAUAUUGAACCGCAUGGUUCAAUAGUGAAAGACGGUUUUGCUGUCACUUAUAGAUGGAUCCGCGCCGCAUUAGCUAGUUGGUAAGGUAACGGCUUACCAAGGCAACGAUGCGUAGCCGACCUGAGAGGGUGAUCGGCCACACUCGAACUGAGACACGGUCCAGACUCCUACGGGAGGCAGCAGUAGGGAAUCUUCCGCAAUGGGCGAAAGCUUGACGGAGCAACGCCGCGUGAGUGAUGAAGGUCUUCGGAUCGUAAAACUCUGUUAUUAGGGAAGAACAAAUGUGUAAGUAACUAUGCACGUCUUGACGGUACCUAAUCAGAAAGCCACGGCUAACUACGUG